GCUAAUACCGGAUAAGAAAGCGGAUCGCAUGAUCAGCUUUUAAAAGGCGGCGUAAGCUGUCGCUAUGGGAUGGCCCCGCGGUGCAUUAGCUAGUUGGUAAGGUAAAGGCUUAACCAAGGCGAUGAUGCAUAGCCGAGUUGAGAGACUGAUCGGCCACAUUGGGACUGAGACACGGCCCAAACUCCUACGGGAGGCAGCAGC
rnacentral:rRNA from 1 species